CCUACAAAUGUCACUAUCACCCUGGAGGGACCAAAUCCACCCUGUUGGAAUUCAGUGAUCCCUUGGAGUUUUCAGUCACUGGUGAGGGGAUACCUGUUAAUCACCCAGCCCAAAUCCUUUCCAUUCUCAUCAUAGCCAUCAGUUGUGCCAGCAUCCUUCUCUUCUUGGUCUUGCUAAGCUUCUCUCUCUCUCUUAAAGUGGCUGCUCAUAAAGAAGCCCGGAGAAGGUAGAGACUCAUUUCAUCUUCCCAUACU
rnacentral:lncRNA from 1 species